rnacentral:tRNA from 1 species
UGGCUUAGAGGUUAAAGCAUCUGCCUGCAGUGCAGGAGACCUGGAUUCAAUCCCGG